rnacentral:sRNA from 1 species
GGUGCUGGUGGUGGCACGCCUUGUAGCGCAGGGUCGGGGUUCGAGUCCCCGUGGCGCC